UACGAUCCGAAGUAGAGGUUGGCUCGGUUUAGCUCGCUCACUCAGUCUGAAUGAGGAUCAGUCCCCGGCUGUGCGCGGAGGAGCGUUGCAGUCGUGGACUGUUCGCCCCGGGCGACCAGUCAACGCCGGACUAGGCCCUUUUUUUUGGGCAUUUCACCAAAGGGUCCGGGUUAACACCAUGGUUUCACUUGAGGCGACCGGCACUUUCUUGUGACGCGGUAGAAGGAGCGGCCUGCCCUAGGAGGGCGUGGUCGGAAGUGGCUGCCCAGCGACCGGCACGAAAGCUCCGACGGGGGUAGCCUCUAAGGGUCAUAGACUCGAUCGUACCUAUCCUACGCCCUACGGAACCUCGCCCAGUUCUACGACCAGCCGUACCUCAAGCUGCUCCUCAGGCGCGGCGGCGGCGGACUCCUCGUCAGGAAGAAGCUGCUGUAGUUGGCCGUGACGUGGGAGUUGUGGUGGGUCCUUUCGGCGGCGGAGGAGGAGGAGGCAAGGGGUAGAAAAUGAACGAUGGAGAGCCUGGGCUCCGCAGAGGCGAGUCUAGACCGACACUCUCAGUGGGCCCUGAUAGUCGGUUCUAUUACGGUUGAUGCAUCAACGUCAGUAAUGGAAGAGCCCCUGACCGGUCGUUCCUAACUACUCCUAUCCAGCGCCAUCUUGUAGAGGUAGUUACGCCGAUGCGACGAGUAGUUUAGACCCAAUGACAAGAACAACAUAUAUCACCAACAUGGUGUCUUGACUUUAGGUUCUGGAAAGCUAAAACAAAAAGACACACGUCUCCAACAUACCAAAACGCUGUACGAACCGACGGCCAAACUGAACGUGAAAGAACAGCUACUAGCAAAAGAAGUUAGGACACUUCAAACCUCAAUGUAAGUGCGAACCGUUACGCUACCGUGAGCCUUCAUGUCGCAAAGAAUAUCCAGGGUUCUCUGUCAAACUAUACUACGAACUAGGACAGGCAUAUAUACGGUGACGAUAUAUGUAACGUUCGUAGUAUUAAAGAGAUAAGACGCGAGAGAAUCAAGUGUCAUUCGACAACUGAGAUGAACGGUAGCAGAACCUUAAACCACGGGAAUAGACCAUGUCAGAUUCGAUAUAUGGGAAACGUGCUAGUCAACAAAGCUUUGACUACCGUAGAACGAAGCUGUGACUUAAGAUCUCGUUAGUAGUACUAGCCUAGAUGGAAACCAACUACCUUGUCAUCAGAGUAACGACCUAGUCAUCUACGACGACUAGAUGACACAUGAAAAUUGGUUCCCGUACUAGAAGACAAUACGAGUCUUUAGUACAAUUGGAAAAGGGGUGACAACGAGGGAAGAACGCGUGUAUACAUAUACUGUGAGGAAACAAGGGAAACCGAACCCUGGAAAGUACUUGUCACGUAAACAGCACCUAACCAUCCUGGUCGUGGACUAUUGCGCCACAAACACACCUUUAGGACGAACGAAUUUCAGUAUAUACAACAAUUUUCAAAGUGACGAAUAGGCCACCACGAACGGUUACCGUAGAAUGCUACAUUC
rnacentral:rRNA from 1 species